rnacentral:rRNA from 1 species
UAAGGCUAAAUACUCUCUAGUGACCGAUAGUGAACCAGUACCGUGAGGGAAAGGUGAAAAGCACCCCGGAAGGGGAGUGAAAUAGAACCUGAAACCGUGUGCUUACAAGUAGUCAGAGCCCGUUAAUGGGUGAUGGCGUGCCUUUUGUAGAAUGAACCGGCGAGUUACGAUUUGAUGCAAGGUUAAGCAGUAAAUGUGGAGCCGUAGCGAAAGCGAGUCUGAAUAGGGCGUUUAGUAUUUGGUCGUAGACCCGAAACCAGGUGAUCUACCCUUGGUCAGGUUGAAGUUCAGGUAACACUGAAUGGAGGACCGAACCGACUUACGUUGAAAAGUGAGCGGAUGAACUGAGGGUAGCGGAGAAAUUCCAAUCGAACCUGGAGAUAGCUGGUUCUCUCCGAAAUAGCUUUAGGGCUAGCCUCAAGUGAUGAUUAUUGGAGGUAGAGCACUGUUUGGACGAGGGGCCCCUCUCGGGUUACCGAAUUCAGACAAACUCCGAAUGCCAAUUAAUUUAACUUGGGAGUC